UUCCCCUCCCCAGACGGUAUCCAAAUCCAAGGAUACGAGCCAACCUUCGCUUCCUUCCUUACCCUCCCAAUCCGUUUAUGCUUUUUAUUUGAUGUUAUAUUAUAUUAUAUUAUAUUAUAUUAUAUAUCUAUCAUCAAAUAUUAAAAUCCGUCCGACUCUUUAAUCAUUACUCAUCUUGGGACCCAUUUACCUUCAUCUUUUAAUCCAUUUUUCAAACCCUAGCCCGCUCUCUUCUCCGUACAAAAUUUCUUCAAAUCACCGGUCUUACACCUGAAUUCGAUCUUUCUCAUGAUCUCCGUGUGAUCGUUUCACUUGACGUUUUAAUUUUUGUUUCUUUAUUGUAGUUUUGUUGUUUGUUUUUGAGUUCGGAUUGCGAAAUGAGUAAUCAGAAGAAGAGGAACUUUCAAAUAGAGGCGUUCAAACACCGCGUGGUGGUGGAUCCAAAGUACGCCGAGAAGACCUGGAAGAUUCUGGAGCAUGCGAUUCAUGAGAUUUACAAUCACAACGCUAGUGGCCUUAGUUUUGAAGAGCUUUAUAGGAAUGCGUACAACAUGGUUCUGCAUAAAUUUGGUGAGAAGCUGUAUUUAGGACUUGUUACAACUAUGACCUUGCAUCUCAAAGAAAUAUCAAAAUCUAUUGAGGCUGCUCAGGGAGGAUUGUUUCUGGAAGAGCUGAAUAGGAAAUGGAGUGAUCAUAAUAAGGCAUUGCAAAUGAUCCGAGACAUUUUGAUGUACAUGGACAGGACUUAUAUUCCAAGUACCCAUAAAACUCCUGUUCAUGAGCUUGGCUUGAACCUUUGGAGGGAUAACAUUAUACACUCAAACAAGAUUCAGACAAGGCUUUUGAAUACACUUCUUGAGCUUGUGCAUUUAGAAAGAACAGGUGAAGUCAUAAACAGGGGGCUGAUGAGGAAUAUAAUUAAGAUGCUAAUGGACUUAGGUUCAUCUGUUUACCAAGAAGAUUUUGAGAAGCCAUUUCUUGAGGUUUCUGCUGAGUUUUACAAGGUUGAAUCUCAAAAGUUCAUUGAGUGUUGUGAUUGUGGGGAAUACCUGAAAAAGGCAGAGAGACGUCUAAAUGAAGAAAUGGAGAGAGUAACCCACUACUUGGAUGCCAAGAGUGAGACGAAGAUAACAUAUGUGGUGGAGAAGGAGAUGAUUGCAAACCACAUGCUGAGGCUAGUCCACAUGGAGAACUCUGGCUUGGUAAAUAUGCUUCUUGAUGAUAAAUAUGAGGACUUGGGAAGAAUGUACAAUUUGUUUCGUAGGGUUCCUAGUGGUCUCUCAUCAAUACGGGAAGUGAUGACUUCUCACCUCAGGGAAACUGGUAAACAGCUAGUUACUGAUCCGGAAAGAUUGAAGGAUCCUGUUGAAUUUGUGCAGCGGCUGUUGGAUGAGAAAGAUAAAUAUGAUAACAUUAUCCAUGCGGCAUUUAACAAUGACAAAACAUUCCAAAAUGCUUUGAAUUCCUCAUUUGAAUAUUUCAUCAAUCUGAACCCUCGUUCUCCUGAGUUCAUCUCGUUGUUUGUUGAUGAUAAACUUCGUAAAGGUCUGAAGGGGGUUAGUGAGGAGGAUGUGGAGACCAUUCUUGACAAAGUAAUGAUGCUAUUCCGCUACUUACAGGAAAAAGAUGUAUUUGAAAAGUACUAUAAACAACAUUUAGCUAAACGCCUUUUGUCAGGAAAAACUGUCUCUGAUGAUGCAGAGAGAAGUCUAAUAGUCAAGCUUAAGACAGAAUGUGGGUAUCAAUUUACUUCCAAAUUAGAAGGCAUGUUUACAGACAUGAAGACCUCCCAAGACACAAUGCAAGGGUUUUAUGCAAGCCACCCAGAGUUAGGGGAUAGCCGCACACUGGUUGUCCAGGUUUUGACAACAGGAUCUUGGCCCACCCAACCUACUGUUGCUUGCAAUCUGCCGGCUGAAAUGUCGGCGUUGUGUGAGAAAUUUAGGUCAUAUUACCUUGGAACUCAUACUGGUCGGAGAUUGUCUUGGCAAACGAACAUGGGCACAGCAGAUAUAAAAGCAAUAUUUGGGAAGGGUCAGAAGCAUGAGUUGAAUGUCUCAACAUACCAAAUGUGUGUUCUCAUGUUGUUUAACAAUGCUGAUCGACUUAGCUACAAAGAAAUUGAGCAGGCUACAGAGAUUCCUGCUUCAGACUUGAAGAGGUGUCUCCAAUCUAUGGCAUGUGUGAAGGGCAAGAAUGUUCUUAGGAAAGAGCCUAUGAGUAAGGACAUUGAUGAGGAUGAUGCAUUUUUUGUCAAUGAUAAGUUCUCAAGUAAAUUCUAUAAGGUAAAGAUAGGAACUGUGGUUGCUCAAAAAGAAUCAGAACCAGAGAAACAGGAAACCCGACAGAGAGUAGAGGAAGACAGGAAGCCUCAGAUUGAAGCUGCUAUAGUUAGGGUGAUGAAAUCAAGGAGGGUACUUGACCAUAACAACAUAAUCGCAGAAGUCACAAAGCAGUUGCAGCCACGGUUUCUAGCAAACCCCACAGAGAUUAAGAAACGGAUUGAGUCCCUAAUUGAGAGGGAUUUCUUGGAGAGGGAUAGUGUGGACAGAAAAUUGUAUCAGUAUCUUGCCUAAAAAAUGGCAAUGGGUGAUUCUACUUUUUUCUUAAAGGAAGUCUAAGCAUUGACAAAUUGUACCUUACUUGACUUACGACACAACCUUGGAGGCGAAAUGUACGGUCUCAAUCUCAAAGCUAAUGUUAAGGGGGUGAAACUGAUCGUGUCUGCCAUUUUCAUUGCCCUUACUAGUUGUCUGGCUCCCAAGUUUGCAAAAAAGUUGUCUUGGGAAUGCAAUGUAUGGUGAAGAUAGAAAAUAAUUUGCAUAAUUUUGAAUGUGAGCUAAGGGUUGUAGAUAUUGGAAAAACCAAUAAUACCUGUCAGAUGAAUCAAUCAAUCAAUCAAUCUGAUUGACAGAGCCAUGAUUUGUUUGCUAUCCGAAAAGUUUGUACAUAGCAUUAACAAAACAGUGAGUCAGAAAUCUGGUUUGAGAAUGAAGAAUAAAGAGAAUACUUAUUCG